rnacentral:lncRNA from 1 species
AGAUGAUGGUGUAGGGCUGAGACCUGAGAAACAAUAUUUAUUAAUUUGGUAGAGAAAGAUGAGUCUCAAGGGAAGAUGAAAAAGAAGAAACCAGAAAAAUAGAAGAAAAAUCAGCUUUACAGAAUUCUUUCUCAAGAGGAUUUAGACUCCUUUUCUAUUGAUAGGGCAUAAGAAUUGACUCAGACCUAGAAACUGGCUGGGACCAUCUCAUAAUGUUUGUGUACAUUCCUGUUGUCUUCUACCUCCCAUCCACCGUGUCUCUCUACUGCCUAUAACCAGCCUACAUAAGAUAAAUGUGAUUGGAGAGGAAACUAUCCCCAAUUCUCUCUUCAUUGACAUUUGGGGCUGUACCAGUUUACAUUUUCACCAACAUUCCCACCAUUGUGGUGGCCAGCAACUGAGGAGGCUGAGAUAAGUGGAUUCCCUGAGCCCAGGAGGUGGAGGUUGCAGUUAGCCAAGAUUGCGUCACUGCACUCCAGCCUAGGCAACAGAGUGAGACCUGUCUCAAAAAAAAAAAAAAAAAAGAGUUAAAUUAAAAAAUAAAUAAAAGUCAUUUGACCAUAUAUGUGAUUGUUUAUUUCUUGCUCUCCAUCUAUUCUAUUUACCUAUAUAUCUAUCUUUAUUCCAGUACAAUGCUGUUUUUAUUAUUGUAACUUUGAAAAAAAAUUUUAAAAUCUAGAAGUGUGAUCUUUAACUUUUGUUCUUUUUCAAAAUUGUUU